rnacentral:misc_RNA from 1 species
GAUGAAGAACGUAGCGAAAUGUGAUACGUAAUGUGAAUUGCAGAAUUCAGUGAAUCAUCGAAUCUUUGAACGCACAUUGCGCCCUUUGGUAUUCCUUAGGGCAUGCCUGUUCGAGCGUCAUUUGAAACCUCAAGCUCAGCUUGGUGUUGGGUGUCUGUCCCCGCCUCACCGCGGGGACUCGCCUCAAAAUCAUUAGCGGCCGGUACGUUGGCUUCGAGCGCAGCAGAAACGCGAACUCGAGGCCCGGCGGAUCGGCGACCAGAAGUCACUUCUUCACAGUUUGACCUCGGAUCAGGUAGGGAUACCCGCUGAACUUAAGCAUAUCAAUAAGCGGAGGA